rnacentral:lncRNA from 1 species
GAAAAAAGAAAAUAGAAAACUAAUAAGAUGAAAAUCAUAUUUUGAUAACUUCUCCCCAAUUAUCUCCUAAAAACACUCCCUAUUAACCCACUAGAACACAACUACUCAGAAGUCCAAUUUAAUUUGAACUUCACCAUGCCACACGCCUCAAACAAAAAUUAAUUACUCUGCUUGCGCAGAGACUCGAACACAGGACCUCCUAC